CUUUCUAGUAUUUUCUAAUCUAAUCUCACACUUUGGUUUCAUUUGCUUUGCAUCAUUCUAAAUCCAAUUCCAAUUUUCAGCUCUUAUCUUACCUCUCUGUUUCUGUCUCUCUUCACUCUCAAUCCUCUCCUCAACGCUCUCUAUAUUUAGUUCAAGCUCAGCACUUUCUGGAAGGGAUUUUAUUUUAUUUUUGACGGGGAAAGGAGUGAGUAACACACUGUGAUUCACUGAUUUUCUGAUUUUCACUCCUAAAAUGAGUAAAGAAGGUGUCAGGGUGUUCUUUUGGUGUCUGUGAAGAUAGAUUGAGGAAGGGCAUGUUUUUGUGAAAGUCACUUCCUUUUUGUUUCCUUAUUCUGGUGAAGAAGUUGGAGGAGAUUGAUAUUAACUUCACAGCUUUUGAAGAAUGGUGAAACAGAAUCUACAGUCCAAGCACUGUUAAUUGAAGCCCCCCAAUCAAAUAAAUAACUGCAGCACACAAAAUUACUGCAAGAAGGUUCACUGUUUGAAAAUUCAGAUCGUACUGAAGCAGAAUGAAUAUAUGGUUGUAACAUGCAAUGGUGUCAGUUGAGUGUGUUGUUGCAUUGCAGCUGUUAAUUUUACGUCUGAAAAUUAAGAAUGAAGGUAUGACAAUGAUUGGUGUUUCAGAAACGUGACACCGCUAAAAUUGUAGCAUACAAUAAGAUCAAAUUUUUCAUUCCAUUUCUCUUUCA